rnacentral:rRNA from 1 species
UACGUAGGGUGCAAGCGUUGUCCGGAAUUAUUGGGCGUAAAGAGCUCGUAGGCGGUUUGUCGCGUCUGCUGUGAAAACUCGGGGCUUAACCCCGGGCCUGCAGUGGGUACGGGCAGACUAGAGUGAUGUAGGGGAGACUGGAAUUCCUGGUGUAGCGGUGAAAUGCGCAGAUAUCAGGAGGAACACCGAUGGCGAAGGCAGGUCUCUGGGCAUUAACUGACGCUGGAGGAGCGAAAGCAUGGGGAGCGAACAGG